rnacentral:rRNA from 1 species
GACGAACGCUGGCGGCGUGCUUAACACAUGCAAGUCGAACGGAAAGGCCCUGCUUUUGUGGGGUGCUCGAGUGGCGAACGGGUGAGUAACACGUGAGUAACCUGCCCUUGACUUUGGGAUAACUUCAGGAAACUGGGGCUAAUACCGGAUAGGAGCUCCUGCUGCAUGGUGGGGGUUGGAAAGUUUCGGCGGUUGGGGAUGGACUCGCGGCUUAUCAGCUUGUUGGUGGGGUAGUGGCUUACCAAGGCUUUGACGGGUAGCCGGCCUGAGAGGGUGACCGGCCACAUUGGGACUGAGAUACGGCCCAGACUCCUACGGGAGGCAGCAGUGGGGAAUAUUGCACAAUGGGCGGAAGCCUGAUGCAGCAACGCCGCGUGCGGGAUGACGGCCUUUGGGUUGUAAACCGCCUUCGCCUGUAACGAAGCGUGAGUGACGGUAAUGGGUAAAGAAGCACCGGCUAACUACGUG